CUCCCUUACCAAGCCAAAAAAAGAAAAAGAAAAAGAAAAGCUUAUGUCCUCCCUCAUUUCUCAUCUCCCCCGCUCCAUAUCUAUUCUCUCUUUGUGCUAUCAUUAUCAUUGUGUGGUCGUGAGAAUAUUCACAUAUUGUACUACUUAGAACUUCAUUUCUUACAUAGAUAAUUCAAUCCUCGAGGGGCCGGCGACUGAUCGAGAUCAUAGGACGAUUAGAUUGGUUGAUCAUGGGAGAUGAUUCGUCUGCCUCAUAUAUACAUAUGGUGCACCACCUGAUAGAGAAGUGUAUCAUAUUCAAGAUGAGCAAAGAAGAAUGCAUGGAAGCUCUCUCCAAACAUGCCAACAUUAAACCUGUCAUCACCUCCACAGUGUGGAAGGAGCUGGAGAAGGAGAACAAGGAGUUCUUCGAAGCUUAUGCUGAGUCACAGAGCAAAGGUCGGCAAGACCGGAUGUCCGAGGAAGAGACCAGUCAGAUGAUUCACAAGCUUAUCUCCGAUGACGAUCCCUCCUCCUCCAAAGACACUCCCAACACCUAAACUCAUACUACAGAUCAACUCAUUGCCCUCUGCACCAUAAGAACAUUAAUAAUAAUCUAGAAGGAAAGUGACUAGAAGAGAGAGAGCUCAAUACCAGGAUCGAAAUUAACUGGAUCCUUUCAUAAAAUAUAUAAGUUAAGCUUAAGAAGUCGAGUAUGGAGAUUCGCUCAAUACCAUCGGCACAGUUUGCCAGUUACAGCAAACCCUGCAUGUGGUUCAAUAAAUGAAGCCAAGGAAUAAGACAAAGAGAUGCGGGACUACCACUUCUCCUUCUCCCCAUGGAAGACAGGGAGAGGUCGCAUUCUUCAACUUUAGUUGCUCAGUACGUUAGGGAAAUGGAAAUCUGAGGGCAAUAUAUAUAUGUGUGUUUGUGUGUGUGUGUUGCCGGGUCCUCCUUUUAGUCCUUUCGAAAGGGUCAAGACCUACAGGGGACCCCUCCAUUCCAUUCUUAUGACAUGUUAUACAUAUUUGAGUAGAUUCGUGAGGUGUGUAUGUUAAUUGGUACGGGAAAAUAGAAAUAUAAUUGCACGGAA